AACUAACGCUGGCGGCGUGCCUAACACAUGCAAGUCGUACGAGAAAGUUGGCUUCGGCCGAUGAGUAAAGUGGCGCACGGGUGAGUAAUGCGUGGAUAAUCUGCCCUUUAGUUGGGAAUAACGUACCGAAAGGUGCGCUAAUACCUGAUAAUACUGCAUAACUACUGUUGUGUAGUCAAAGAAGGCCUCUGUUUACAAGCUUUUGCUGAAGGAUGAGUCCGCGUACCAUUAGCUGGUUGGUGGGGUAAUGGCCUACCAAGGCUACGAUGGUUAGCCGGCCUGAGAGGGUGAUCGGCCACACUGGGACUGAGACACGGCCCAGACUCCUACGGGAGGCAGCAGUGGGGAAUAUUGCACAAUGGGCGAAAGCCUGAUGCAGCGACGCCGCGUGGGGGAUGACGGUCUUCGGAUUGUAAACCCCUUUUCAGUAGGGACGAAGCGCAAGUGACGGUACCUGCAGAAGAAGCACCGGCCAACUACGUGGCCAGCAGCCGCGGUAAAACG
rnacentral:rRNA from 1 species